GAUGAAGAACGUAGCAAAAUGCGAUACUUGGUGUGAAUUGCAGAAUCCCGUGAACCAUCGAGUUUUUGAACGCAAGUUGCGCCCGAAGCCAUUAUGCCGAGGGCACGUCUGCCUGGGCGUCACGCAUCGCGUCGCCCCCCACAAUUCUCCGUAAAGGGAACGUGUGUUUUGGGGGCGGAUAUUGGUCUCCCGUGCUCAUGGCGUGGUUGGCCGAAAUAGGAGUCCUUUCGAUGGACGCACGAACUAGUGGUGGUCGUAAAAACCCUCGUCUUUUGUUUCGUGCUGUUGCUCGCAAGGUAAACUCUUUAAAAACCCCAAUGUGUCGUCUCUUGACGACGCUUCGACCGCGACCCCAGGUCAGGCGGGACUACCCGCUGAGUUUAAGCAUAUCAAUAAGCGGAGGA
rnacentral:misc_RNA from 1 species